CUCCUCUCUUUCUCUUUCCAGACCUUUCCAUCCUCCAUGUCGGCACAAAGCGACACUAACACUCCAGCUGCUCUGAGGAUCCACACCGGCCACAAGAUGGCGCCCAACGCCAGGAAGAGAGGAGGUGACGUCAAUGUCUGCUGAAGGUCAUCAGUCCAACUGAGUGAUUCAGUUUGUUUUAAAAGCUGUGGUAAACUUGAAGUAUUUGUCAUUGCAGAGAGGUCACUGUGUCCUUGUGUAAAAAAAUAACUUAUGUAGGUAGUAGUGCAGGAUUUUAUUUUAUUUUUAUUUAUUGCAUUUAAAGAAAUAAGAUAACAGUAAUCCUGGAGGAACAGAUCAUAAAAAGAGAACAAGAAAAUGACAUAAUUGAGGAAGUUUUCAGAAGUUUGUUUUAGUAAAGAAAGCGAGGACAUUUAAAGUAGUUCUCCCCAAAGGUCAAGUAACAUUACAGAUUGACAAUGUCACUAAUAAUAAUAAUAAUACAUUUUAUUUAUAAUGCCCUUUUCAUCAAAAGAUCUCAAAGUGCUAUAAGUUAAAAACAAAUAAAGAUAAAAAAAAAAGGAAUGGAAGAGAAUAAAAACAAGAUGAGCAGUUAUUUAAAAGGAUUUAAACAAAAACAUCUAAGGGGGACCAAAAGCUUUGCUAAAAAAGAAAUGUCUUGAGACCUUUUUUAAAACAGUCAGUGGAUUGUGGUGCCCUCAAGGUGUCAGGGAGGGCAUUCCACAGAUGUGGGGCAGCAGCACAGAAGGCCCUGUCUCCCAUGGUCCUGAGUCUGGUUCUGGCUAUUUGGAGGAGGUUUGAGUGGACUACAGGAUAACAAACAAUUUUACAGUUACUUUAAGACAUUUACUGCACUGUAUUUGUUUUCUUCUCUUUUGUUUUCUCAGAAGCACACUAACAAGAAGGGAGAACUUACAAAGCAGAUGUAAGAGCUAUAAAUGAUCCAGAUUGUAUGAUGUGUUUGAACUGUGUAUAAUUAAAUGUUGCUGUGACAGAUAUUUUGCUGGAUAUAACCAUUACAUUAAAAGCUUUUUUUUUUUAUUUAAUUUUAUUUUUUAAUUUUUUUAAUGAAAUUGUGUCAAAGUUUACAGAAGUUGAAUGUUGCUCUGUUUGUGUCACUGGAAUUAAAAUAUGUCUGAAUUUAAUGCAGACUGAGAACAUUAAUAAAGUCACAUUUUAUCUCAUCA